rnacentral:rRNA from 1 species
GACGAACGCUGGCGGCGUGCUUAACACAUGCAAGUCGAACGGAAAGGCCCUGCUUUUGUGGGGUGCUCGAGUGGCGAACGGGUGAGUAACACGUGAGUAACCUGCCCUUGACUUUGGGAUAACUUCAGGAAACUGGGGCUAAUACCGGAUAGGAGCUCCUGCUGCAUGGUGGGGGUUGGAAAGUUUCGGCGGUUGGGGAUGGACUCGCGGCUUAUCAGCUUGUUGGUGGGGUAGUGGCUUACCAAGGCUUUGACGGGUAGCCGGCCUGAGAGGGUGACCGGCCACAUUGGGACUGAGAUACGGCCCAGACUCCUACGGGAGGCAGCAGUGGGGAAUAUUGCAUAAUGGGCGGAAGCCUGAUGCAGCAACGCCGCGUGCGGGAUGACGGCCUUCGGGUUGUAAACCGCUUUCGCCUGUGACGAAGCGUGAGUGACGGUAAUGGGUAAAGAAGCACCGGCUAACUACGU